AUUGAACGCUGGCGGAAUGCUUUACACAUGCAAGUCGAACGGCAGCACGGACUUCGGUCUGGUGGCGAGUGGCGAACGGGUGAGUAAUGUAUCGGAACGUGCCCAGUCGUGGGGGAUAACGUAGCGAAAAUUACGCUAAUACCGCAUACGAUCUAUGGAUGAAAGCGGGGGAUCGCAAGACCUCGCGCGAUUGGAGCGGCCGAUAUCAGAUUAGGUAGUUGGUGGGGUAAAGGCCCACCAAGCCAACGAUCUGUAGCUGGUCUGAGAGGACGACCACCGACACUGGAACUGGGACACGGUCCAGACUCAUACGGGAGGCAGCAGUGGGGAAUUUUGGACCAUGGGCGAAAGCCUGAUCCGGCCAUUCCGCGUGCAGGAUGAAGGCCCUCGGGUUGUAAACUGCUUUUGUACAGAACGAAAAGGUUUCUACUAAUACUAGGAGCUCAUGACGGUACUGUAAGAAUAAGCACCGGCUAACUACGUGCCAGCAGCCGCCGUAA
rnacentral:rRNA from 1 species